CCUACGGGAGGCUGCAGUGGGGAAUAUUGGACAAUGGGGUCAACCCUGAUCCAGCCAUGCCGCGUGUGUGAAGAAGGCCCUCGGGUUGUAAAGCACUUUCAGUGAGGAAGAACGCCUGGUGGUUAAUACCCAUCAGGAAAGACAUCACUCACAGAAGAAGCACCGGCUAACUCCGUGCCAGCAGCCGCGGUAAUACGGAGGGUGCGAGCGUUAAUCGGAAUUACUGGGCGUAAAGCGAGCGUAGGUGGCUUGAUAAGCCGGUUGUGAAAGCCCCGGGCUCAACCUGGGAACGGCAUCCGGAACUGUCGAGCUAGAGUGCAGGAGAGGAAGGUAGAAUUCCCGGUGUAGCGGUGAAAUGCGUAGAGAUCGGGAGGAAUACCAGUGGCGAAGGCGGCCUUCUGGACUGAAACUGACGCUGAGGUGCGAAAGCGUGGGUAGCAAACAGGAUUAGAUACCCGAGUAGUC
rnacentral:rRNA from 1 species